CCAUGCCCGGCUAAUUUUUGUAUUUUUAGUAGAGACGGGGUUUCACCAUCUUGGCCAGGCUGGUCUGAACUCCUGACCUCGUGAUCCACCCACCUCGGCCUCCCAAAGUGCUGGGAUUACAGGCAGGAAUUUGCAUUCUUAACAAAUUCCCAGAUGCUGCUGCUCUGGAGACCAUACUUUUCAAGAAUCCCUGCCUUAAAAUCUUUCCUGUGAGUUGGGAAAUGAAUAUUUUCAUUCCCUUUUAUUGGGAAUGACCAUGCUAUACAGAAAUGUAAUUUGAGACCUAUUAUUUAUGACUCACCCAAACAAGCACAUAAAUCCUUUACUAUUAUUCAGAUGUUUAUCAAAGCUGAGAACACCCAAACACCACUGUAGUUUCUCAGUCUCUGGUUGCCUAGGCAGAUCUGAGGCCAUCAAAGCAAGUCUCUUGCUGGGAUGAGGCUUAGAAGAGGCCACAGACCAGUUUCAGCCCCAUAGUCAUCCACUCCCCAGCCCCUUUGCUGGGAACAGUACCCGUGACAGUCCAGGCUGAGACUUGCGGCUGUUGGGAUCAUACCCAAGGUUCCAGUGGAAUCUCACACAAAUCCUGUCUGGUUCAUUUUCUUUCUGUUUGCACCUCAGGUCCUCAGUUCCCUCUGAGGUCCCCACCAUGCCUUUCCUGGCCUGUCUCUCCUUCGCUGACCUCCUUUUCAAGUCCCUCCCAGAGAAUGCUCAUACCUUAGUCUUUUCUUUCCUUCUUCCUUCAUCUCUCUAUUUCUUCAUCAGGUAUGUAUUUCCUGAGGGCCUAUUAUAUGCCUGUUGUAGUUGCUGGGGAUACAGCAGUAUCCAAGACAAACACUGCCUGCCCUCCUUGCAGUCCAGAAAGCAAGCAAUGACCACUCAAUGGGAUGAGUGCUACUAGACAGUAAGGGACCUGCGGGGGGCAGUUUAGGUGCCCUCCCUCAACCCUGCAGUUUACAGACUUUGUGACCAUCUCACUCUUUCUCUAGGACUUGCCCAUUCUGCAAGUCUCAAGACACCAUUUCUUCCCAGUCCUGACUCCCUACCCCACACCCCAUCAUCAUUGUCCGUAGCACCCACUCCCAGCCAGUGCUGCUUCCACAGCCUUGCCAUCUGAAACUGCCCUUUCACUUUUGCCAUCUGCUCAGCUCCAAGCCGCUCCUGCCUGUUUCUCCAAGUCUUCCAUCUACCACUCCCAGGUUUCGUCACUUCAUUCCCACCCCAGGAACAUCACUGUCCAUGAUGGCAGUCUGCCCGGCAAUCUGGCCUGUUCCCAAGACUGGCGUUUCACUCCUCGAUUGCACCUGUAACCAAACUUGGUGAUCUCCUGCAACUGCUCUACCUCUGGUUUCUCCUAACAUACUACCCACAGCAACCUCAAACAAUGAAGUUUUGUACCAUUAUAGAGUCCUCUUAUUGGAAUGGAUUAGAGGGGAAGGAAGAAACUUAAGUCAUUAUACCAGGAAAAUCAUUCCCUCACUAUUGCAAGAGUUAGGUUUCAUAAUCUGCCUUUCAAAGAGCAAUUACAAAAGCAAUAAGUAAUUUUGUUGUAAGGAUUACAAAUACACCUACAUGAUAAAUUGGGGGCCGGGGAGGAUGGUCCUAAUGUGGUAACUUGGGUCAAACUUGCCAGUGAGUCAGACAUGUAUUUGAGAAGUGCUGCAUCUCAGACAGCUUAGAUGCAAGUGAAGGAGAUACACUUUGAGAAAUGGACUGUAGAUACCAUGAAGACGUUGAUGUCCAAGAUGCAUGUAGAGAGUGAAUAAAAUUGUUACUUGAAAUGUGAGAAUGGGAAAAAAGCAAUAUUUUGUAUUAAUGUAUUAUAUAUAUAAUGUUAUUUUAAAUAUGCAUGUGUAACUAAAGUAAUAAAUUAG
rnacentral:lncRNA from 1 species